rnacentral:rRNA from 1 species
UAAGGAAUAUUGCUCAAUGGGAGAAAUCCUGAAGCAGCAACGCCGCGUGGAGGAUGAAGGGUCUAUGACUUGUAAACUCCUGUAAAGAAGGAAAAAAUUCCCAUUUGAUGGGAGAUGAUGGUACUUCUGGAGUAAGCCCCAGCUAACUACGUGCCAGCAGCCGCGGUAAUACGUAGGGGGCAAGCGUUGUCCGGAUUUACUGGGUGUAAAGGGUGCUCAGGCGGAUUUGUAAGUCAGAGGUGAAAUCUUACAGCUUAACUGUGAAACUGCCUUUGAUACUGCAAGCCUAGAGUAUGGAAGAGAGUGAUGGAAUAUCUGGUGUAGCAGUGAAAUGCGUAGAUAUCAGAUAGAACACCAAUGGCGAAGGCAGUCACUUGGUCCAUUACUGACGCUAAAGCACGAAAGCGUGGGUAGCAAACA